rnacentral:lncRNA from 1 species
GUCUCAAUUAAAACCAGAGUGGCUUCCUUUCUCAGUGAUUACUAUGGUGGGAAAACACGAUGAUCCUAAGCUUUGUGGUUUUCAAAGAAGUACAUCAGUGGGGGGAGGAGAAAAUGGAGCAGAAGAGAAAUGUUGGCCAGACUUUCCCAGGAUUCCCAGCAUUGAUUUUUCAGACUCUACAAUCCCACCAGCAAUCAUGAAUGGGGCCAAAGGAAACAAGAGGUAACAGUGAAACUGCCUAAUGGCAAGCUUCCAUGAAUAUCUGGGAGAUCCUAUGCUGUACAGCUAAGAUAAGGAUGGCAGAUGCAGAGAUGGUCCAUGUUCCACAAUGCUUCAAAAUGGCACAGAACCAACAAGGAAUCCUGAAACUUUAAGAGUCGACACCUCCUUCCAUGUCUCCCCAACUACAAUCAAGUUCUCAAAUUCUCAGUUGAUUUUCCUUCACAAAAGACACCUUCAAUGUCUGAGAAACACAACAGAUGGUUACACAUUUGAAUGAAUUAUGUCAGGAAUGGGAUGGCCCAGUCAUAUUGCUGAGAUAUCAGGGGUAGAAAGAGAGUGACCUCAGGAAAAGCUAGUGCAAAGACUGAGGUUAUCAGAAUCAUGUAUUGCUUAAGUGUUGUUUGACUAGAAUCUACAUGAGUGACCUACAGUUCCUAGGGACAGCUCAUUGGUCCUGAAAUCCAAGUGAGGAUUAUUAAUCUAUUCUAUACUAUAUGUUCAUAUAUAUAUGAGUUCUAUACUACCAAUUUUGCAUACUAAUAAAGAAAUAUCCCAUAUAGUGGGAGGGUCA